rnacentral:tRNA from 1 species
UGCGGGGUAGAGCAGUUGGUAGCUCGCUGGGCUCAUAACCCAGAGGUCGUAAAAAACGGUUCGAAUCCUACCCCCGCAACUA